rnacentral:lncRNA from 1 species
CAAUCCAAUAAUAAAGUAAUCAUCCAACUAAAAACAUCGAAUAGUCAUGCUAAGGAUCCAUUAUGACUCUAACAAAAGAAUUAGCUACUAAGAGUCAUAACAAACACGAUGAUAACAAUGAAAAACAUAAAAAGACUAAAAGGGAAAAAGGGAUGAAAGGUUGGUGAUGAUGGCUGUCUCCCAGUAUGUCACGUCCCGGAAGCUCCCCCAGUAUGUCAUGGUUGUCUCUAUUUAUAAGACUCAAUUCCCAAUUUGAAUAGAUAUUCCUUGUUCUUCUUGGACUUGGAUGAUGAUGUGGCACUCCAACAUUCCCAAAACAUGGAUUUGGGCCUUAAUUAUGUCUAUGAUGCUUCCAAAAUCUCCUUUGAAUCUUCUAUACACCUUCAAACUUCACAACAUGAGAUUGAUGAAAGACUUUGCAUAUUCUAGUCCAUCUUGAGCUGCCUUCAUUCAAACUGCUAUAUCUUUUUCCACAAAUAUCGAAAUCACGAACCGCCAAAUUCUUUAGAAACUAGACACUCAGGGCUUUCUCUGCAUAUGUGGCUCGUUGUCUGAUUUGAUCUGAGCUGCUCUCAGUAAUUCGGCAAAGUUGGCUGAUCUGUAGAGAUUGACUGCCAGAAUCCUGGGAUUGCUACCCCUCAUUCAAUCCUUCCUGCUCCAAUUGCUUCUCUUUGAUCUUUGAACCUGAAAAACGACAAACUAAGUAAAAUUGAACUAAAUUACUUGAAAGUACAAUACAAAUCUAAGGUAUAAAUGUAUAAAAACAUAGUAUAUAAUGGAUACAUCACUAUAGCAAGGGUUUUGGGCAGAAAUCAAGCGGAACUCGUAUUCACUAAUCCAAUUAAGAUUUCGGGUUCCGUCAGUUCGAGAAGUUCUUAGAGAUAAUGAUUUGAUAAUAGUAAAAGUUUGGUUCAAAAAUAACAACAUUCAAUUUUAACAAAAAAAACUGUGUGCUAUAGCAAGGGGUUUUCGGCCGAAAUCAAGCGGAACUCGUAUACAGUAUUUCAAAUGAGAUUUGUGGGUUCCGUCACUUCGAGAAGUAUCUAAAAUGAUUAUUUGAUAAUAACAAAAUUUUGGUUCACAAAUGACAACAUUCAAUUUUUACAAAAAAACCGUGUGCUAUAGCAAGGGGUUAUGGGCCGAAAUCAAGCAGAACUUGUAUUCACUAAUUCAAUUGAGAUUUUCGGGUUCCGUCAAUCGAGAA